ensembl:lncRNA
CUCCUUAUGGAGGUAAUGCAUCCCAGGUGAGACGUAAAGCCAUGCUCCUCACCCCUUGCAAUUAAAGACCCCUUCACACUUUUCACAGUGUUCUGGCUAAAUUACCGUCCUUAAACUUAAUUACAGACUGUCGUCUUAAAUAUCUGUUGCAGUCUCAACCGGGUACAUUAUGUUUCCCUUCCUGAUGUUUUAUGUUGCUUAUCGAGUAGCUGCUUUAUUCCACUCCAGAAGUGGCUGCAUUUCAGUGAUGGUGGAGAUUAUUCUGUACAUAGAAGGAAAGUCCCUGCAGAAGGAAAGUGCAAUAUAAAUUUAAGAGACUGCUUUUAUUUACAAGGAGACCUCUGCUUGGUAGUUGUAGAAAUACAUUAGGAAGAAUGCUGUGUGGGUGUUAGCCGAUAUAUACUCAAUUUCUUCUUUUUUUUUUUUUCCAGGGUAUAAAACAGAAAAUAUGUGAGUGUGCAGGCUCCUGGGUAUAAGCUGUAGAUAUUAGAAGCAGUGACUGCUACUGUGUAGUUACAAGGGGGGCUUACAAAGAAACUUUCAUUUGAAACCUCUUUUUGUAGUCGUUCAUUGUAUUCUGAAAAAAAUAUAUAUACAUAUAUACAUUUUUGUAUUAUAAUUUUCCACGUUUUGGUGAAAGUCCCAACAAUGGGACAUCAACAGGACAUUAAUCCAUAGCUUUUAACAACACAAAUGUCAAUUCCUGCCCCGGCUCUGAGAAGCAGCUCCUGGCUGGUAGCAGUAAUGGCCUGUUUUCCUCUGUGUAGAUCAGCCGCUGGAAAACGACGGAGCUAAUGUGUUUCAUUUGAUGUGGAGUUAAGUAAUUUGGAAUGCCUGAGUGCAACUCUUCCCAGCCACGCAGGAGUGAAAAACGUUUCAUCUCUGUGACAAAUCACAGCGGCUGGGGAGCUCCUGAGCUGCGUGGCUGGGAGCGCUCCGGGUCUGCCCUGCACAGCGUGCCGCCUGAGAGCAGCCCUAGCAGGAGCCCUGCUUCUGGAUGCAGUGCUGUUGUGGGAUAAGGCAGGGCAGCAGUCAGGGGAAAAGCAUAGGGGUUUUGGGAGGUCAAAUGUUUAGGUGUUUCCUUCAAGGAUGAUGAUGGAUGUAUGAAUGAGCGUAGUAACCGGCAUACAAAUUGUAUUCUACUCUCUAUUGCUGUUCAAAGCGUGGAAAUCGAAUUUCUCCCUGUACAAAGUCCUGUGGGUACGCUGCUUCAGAACGGCGUCAAAAUGCAUCGGCUCCAGAGACGACCAGGGUGCUCCCUCUGCAGCCUGCCCGUACCGCUCCACACCAGGAGAACCACCUUCCGUUGGCGUCUUUCUGCCUCUGUUUGUGUUUUACUUUGGCUCCUCUGUUAGCUGCUCGUCCCACUCGGCCUGGGAAGGCGUUUAAUGCAGACAAAAGGCAUUUGCAGAAAAACAAGUCCUGGAGAGCUCCGGAAAUUGCAUUUUAACAGGACCCAAUUUACACUCGGUGGUAAUAACUGGCAGCUGGUGGUUUCCAGCCGGGAGCUGAAUAGCCCCAGUACACUCAGCAUCCCAAUUGAUAGCUGUGAUAGAUAUGUGUUUUGCAGCAGUCACCCCUUUGGAGUAAGACAUGUGCCAGUUUGUUUGACAACCUGCCACCCCCUAGCGCACCACAGGGGAUUCUGGGCUCUUCUGAUGGCUACUCACAGCCUGGUGCGGUCACAUCAAAUCAGGGACAGCCAUUUGUGCACGGGAGGCUAUGUACAUCCCCAGGAACACUGCAGAGAGGUGUGACCCUGGGCUGGGUGUAAGCUCUGCCACCAAGCGUCCUUCCUCCAAUGGAGGCAGCUGUCUAGGGGCUUGCAGCAGGUCAGCAGGUCUGACUGAGUCCCUGUGGGGACAAGGGCAUGCAUCCCAUUCAUAACUGCUUCUGGCAUGUCCUAGGAGCGGGGGGAUGGUGGGGUUCUCCAGUGCUGGUGAUGGAACAGGAAGACAGGAGCACUUCAAGACCUGUGUUGGCUCCAUCGGGGACUUCCUGUGGGUCACAUGGUGGCUUCCCCUGUGACACAAGAGGGCUCAAGACUCUGUGGGCAGCUGAGAGGACGGACAAGAUGGCAUGCUGGCAUUGUUCUUGGAAGAAAAGAAGGCUGCACUCUGUGCUGCAUUGCCCAUUAUCUCACAGGUGGAAGGCAGUGGGCUCUGCCCUGCAACUGCUUGGAUGGCUGGGUGAUGGAGAAUAAUAAAAAGCCAUUAGACCUAUAAACCAUUUGCUUGUAUGGAAGGAGGCACAGUUUUACGCUUCCAGUAAGUCUUGUCCUAAAGGGCGAUUUAGCUAUGAACGCUUGGCUUACAGUGAGAUAUUUUACCCCCAGGGCAGACUCAGCACAGCAUAACGCAGCUGGACAGCCCUUGCUCAGUGCCAGUAACCAUGUCAGAGCUGGUGCCCAGACUUCGUUGCUGGCUCUGUUUGAGGCUAUUAUGGCCAACCCUGGACUGAAGCACUAAGCCAACUGACGGGUAACUGGCUGCACUGCCACCCUGUGUGUGUAUUUCUGUGUUCCUCUUGCAUACUCGCCAGCCCUGCAGGAAGAUACAGGACCUGCUGCUGCUGUAGCCAACAGACAUCUCCCUCAGCUGAAGAGGCUGGGCUCUGGUCCUGCCAUUUUGGCAGCAGGGAGGCUUUCAGCUGCAUAAAACCCAGCUGUUAUAGCGAGUAUUUACUCCUGGAUGGUCAAAACUUGCAUAACUAUAGUAUCAGAUAAUCUGUAUAGGCAGGCCAUGGAUAGGAGCUGAAAUAUGCCAGGCAUUGGCAGGGAAAGUGAGCGGCAACUGCGCUGCCCUCAGCAUUACAGCUGCUCUGGGCAGUCACUGAGCCCAAACCAGCUCUAAGGGAAUGCUGCCACACCUCUCUGUUUGGUUCACAUCUUGUCUCACUGGGUGUUGAUCUCAGGAACUGGUCGCUGCUGUCAAUGAACACAGAGCAACAACCAGCAGAAGCUGUAGUGGCAUGGUCAACUCAGACAGCUCUUAACUUGCGGUGAGAGGAGAACAUCAAUUUCUUGCUGUCUUUGAAAUGCCAUCAGCACUGACCGGGGGCACUAUGUUAGGUUCUUUGUAUCGGUGGCAGCACGCACCUCUCAGAGGCAGAGCAGCCAGGGAGCCCUAAGCACUGGGAAAAGGGGAGCAAAGGAACUUUCCUGUGAAUUUAUUUGAUUGUUUCCUAGGGAACCCUGGUAUGUCACAUCCUGGGACGAGAAGACACACUCUGAGUUUGCUGGAGGUGACCUAUUGCUCUCAUCAGGCCUUGCUAUUUGUCCUCUGUUCCUCAACCCUAGCUUUCCAGUGCACUGAUGUAACUGGUGGCAUCAGCUCUGGGUCAAGUCACCUGGCGUCAGUGCUUUCAAAUAGAUGAUCUUGGCCUGUUUUCACAGCUCUUGGGACUGUCUGGAUUUACCGUCUCACUCCAGAGGGCUCCACAACACACGUUCAUCUCUCGGGACUUUCCCAAAAUGCUGGAGAUGCUACAGACAAAUGGCUCUCCUUCGUGUUUAUGGUCAUAGCCCUUACCUAACAUCAUGGAGACAGUCUCCAAUGUCUAUGUGGGGAGGAAAAACUGGUACGAGGAUGGUUUCACUUGGGUCUUUUUUCACAGCCAAAACCAUCCUGCCUGUAUUGCACUGUGCCUACUGGAGGAAAGGAGCUGUCACUCAGUAUGCAACUGUCUCAUAGGGCAGCAACUGUGGCAUCUCCUGCCUUUGGCCAGAGCCUGGAGAGAUCAGCAGUAGAUCAUCCCUGGAUCCCAUGGAAGGGAAACACACCAAAAUCCCUCUCUCAGCUUGCAAGGGGCAGGGAGAAUCAGCUCAGGCGCAAUGGUGAGCCUCUUCAGUGGGAUCCAGCACCAGCGGGACGUCGCCAGCCUCAUGCUUCCAGGUUGCCAAGGCCAGUAGACAGUACACGUUGACCUGAUGGAAGCACUCAGAAACAUCCGGAGCUACAGGGAUACUGUGAAGGGCAGGGGAGUUCUCUGAUGUCUCCUGUUCCUUUUGCAUCGGUAUCCUUGGGUGGGGACCCUUGGACAGAGCCCACCCACCUCCGUCAUCACCACCAUAUCUUGUCACGUUCUGCUCCACAUCUCAUAGGGUGCCAUCACGGCCAUCGAGCGGAGCUGGGACCCUCUCACCCAGCCAUCCACGACGUUAAAAGCACAAAACACCAAGGGACUGAACUGAACCUUUUGAACAGGGUGAGAUGUUUUAUAAGCAUUGCCUCAUCCGUCCCCUAACCCUGACGCACCUGACAUGUAACCUAUAGACUCUCAACAUGGAUUGUUUCAUACAAAUAAAGCUGCAGUACUCAAGUGGGUCAGCCUGUGUGUCCCUCUUUGCCGGGUUG